UACGAAGCGUCCUAACGUUGUUCGGAAUCACUGGGCUUAAAGGGCGCGUAGGCGGCCCGUCAAGUCGGGGGUGAAAGCCCACGGCCCAACCGUGGAAGGGCCUCCGAUACUGACGGGCUCGAGGGAGGUAGGGGCAGGUGGAACUUCCGGUGGAGCGGUGAAAUGCGUUGAUAUCGGAAGGAACGCCGGUGGCGAAAGCGACCUGCUGGACCUCUUCUGACGCUGAGGCGCGAAAGCCAGGGGAGCGAACGGG
rnacentral:rRNA from 1 species